GGGGAUUUAGCUCAGUGGUAGAGCGCUUACCUAGGAAGCGACAAGGCCCUGGGUUCGAUCCCCAGCUCCG
rnacentral:tRNA from 1 species